AGCAUGCAUUAUACUGGAGAAACCGCGAAUGGCUCAUUAAAUCAGUUAUUGUUUAUUUGAUGGUAAGAGGUUACAUGGAUAACCGUGGCAAUUCUAGGGCUAAUACAUGCUGAACAAAAGUGGUUCGCCUUCUGGUGUGCACACUUGCUCUUAUUAGACCAAACCAACGUGGCUUCGGCCGCUCCAUUGGUGACUCUGGAUAAUUCCGCUGAUCGCAAGGCCUCCGCGCCGGCGACGCAUCAUUCAAAUAUCUGCCUUAUCAACUUUCGAUGGUAAGAUGUAGGCUUACCAUGGUUGUAACGGGUAACGGGGAAUUAGGGUUCGAUUCCGGAGAGGGAGCCUGAGAAACGGCUACCACAUCCAAGGAAGGCAGCAGGCGCGCAAAUUACCCACUCCCGGCACGGGGAGGUAGUGACGAAAAAUAACAAUACGGGACUCUUAUGAGGCCUCGUAAUUGGAAUGAGUACACUUUAAAACUUUUAACGAGUAUCUAUUGGAGGGCAAGUCUGGUGCCAGCAGCCGCGGUAAUUCCAGCUCCAAUAGCGUAUAUUAAAGUUGUUGCAGUUAAAAAGCUCGUAGUUGGAUCUCGGGCUCCCGCCGAGUGGUUCUGCGAUAGCGGUCUACUGCCCGGCGGAGCCUUGUUUUUUUUUUACACUAGUGUCGUGCGUCCUUCGCUGGGCGUCGGCAUCGGUGUGGACGUUUACUUUGAAGAAAUUAGAGUGUUCAAAGCAAGCAAACGCUUGAAUAAUCGUGCAUGGAAUAAUAGAAUAUGACCGUCGUCUUUAUUUUGUUGGUUUGAGAGAUCGGUGGUAAUGAUUAAAAGGGACGGACGGGGGCAUCCGUAUUGCGUCGCUAGAGGUGAAAUUCUUGGACCGACGCAAGACGCACUACAGCGAAAGCAUUUGCCAAGAACGUUUUCAUUAAUCAAGAACGAAAGUUGGAGGUUCAAAGACGAUCAGAUACCGUCGUAGUUCCAACUGUAAACUAUGCCAGCUGGCGAUCGGGGAGCGUUAUUAGUUGACCUCCCCGGCAGCUUACGGGAAACCAAAGCUUUUGGGUUCCGGGGGAAGUAUGGUUGCAAAGCUGAAACUUAAAGGAAUUGACGGAAGGGCACCACCAGGAGUGGAGCCUGCGGCUUAAUUUGACUCAACACGGGAAAACUCACCCGGGCCGGACACCGUAAGGAUUGACAGAUUGAAAGCUCUUUCUUGAUUCGGUGGGUGGUGGUGCAUGGCCGUUCUUAGUUGGUGGAGCGAUUUGUCUGGUUAAUUCCGAUAACGAACGAGACUCUGACUUACUAAAUAGUCCAGCGGUUUCCGAGCUGCUCUGGACUUCUUAGAGGGACUAAUGGCGUACAGCCAUACGAGAUUGAGCAAUAACAGGUCUGUGAUGCCCUUAGAUGUUCGGGGCCGCACGCGCGCUACAAUGAGACUGGCAACGAGCAUUUCCCUUCAGCGGCAGCUGCGGGUAAUCUUGUGAAACCGUCUCGUGCUAGGGAUAGGGAUUUGCAAUUAUCUCCCUUGAACGAGGAAUUCCUAGUAAGCGCAAGUCAUAAGCUUGCGUUGAUUACGUCCCUGCCCUUUGUACACACCGCCCGUCGCUACUACCGAUUGAACGGUUUAGUGAGGUCCUCCGAUCGGCGGUCCCUGUUGCCGGCAACGGCGAAGGUGACCUGUCGAAAAGACGAUCGAACUUGAUCGUUUAGAGGAAGUAAAAGUCGUAACAAGGUUU
rnacentral:rRNA from 1 species